ACCCGCACAAGCGGUGGAUGAUGUGGAUUAAUUCGAUGCAACGCGAAAACCUUACCCACCUUUGACAUGUACGGAACUCGCCAGAGAUGGCUUGGUGCUCGAAAGAGAGCCGUAACACAGGUGCUGCAUGGCUGUCGUCAGCUCGUGUCGUGAGAUGUUGGGUUAAGUCCCGCAACGAGCGCAACCCUUGUCAUUAAUUGCCAUCAUUCAGUUGGGCACUUUAAUGAGACUGCCGGUGACAAACCGGAGGAAGGUGGGGAUGACGUCAAGUCCUCAUGGCCCUUAUGGGUAGGGCUUCACACGUAAUACAAUGGUCGGUACAGAGGGUUGCCAACCCGCGAGGGGGAGCCAAUCCCAGAAAACCGAUCGUAGUCCGGAUUGCAGUCUGCAACUCGACUGCAUGAAGUCGGAAUCGCUAGUAAUCGCGGAUCAGCAUGUCGCGGUGAAUACGUUCCCGGGCCUU
rnacentral:rRNA from 1 species